UAUUUUAUUUACACGCAUAGUCAAGGCGUGAGUCAGUAAAAUGAAACGAUAAAAAGGCUGCGAUUUUUAAAAUAGCCCUUUAUGUGGAAAGUAAUGUUUUUGUGUAUAAAAAGGUCGGUUGAAGCGGUCCGGCGACAAUCGGUAACCAUGGAGAUUAACAGUACGGUCGCAGAGAACUCCAGGCUGAGGAAUAGACUAUUUAAUGGAGUACAUUGAAAGAGUGUCCCAUCCAACUGGCUGUUCAUCAUAUGUACUUACUGUCAGAUUUCAGUGUGCCCGCUUCUCAUUACGGAACCUGUCUCUACUGGUCAGGAGCUUGGAGAGAGAGCAGGAGCAUCAAGAGAACUGAACAUGGAGAAAACAGGAACCUGAAGACAGUAGGAGCAGAGAGAGAACAGAUCGUGGAAAAAAGCACUAGAGGAGAAUGGGAGAGCAGGAGCAGGUGGGGAGCAGAUCACAUCUGUGACCAAUGUGCUCUUGCCUACUCUUGACCAGAGUUAUUUGGACAGUCACUCAUCUAUACAACUGGCCUGCAUUGCAAAAAAUCCCUCAAUUCUUAGUUUUACCCCAAC